AUGACUCAAUCAGUAGGGAUACCGCUGACUUAGC
rnacentral:rRNA from 1 species